UAAUUUUCGAUUUUAUGUUAUUCAGUUAAGGGGUUUAUUCAUUAAAAAAGAUGGUAUUUUCCAGUUUUCGGACAAUUACUCAAAAAUAUUUUCAGCAGUUCUCAUGAUACUUUGAUGUAUUGUUUUUAUACAUGAUAUAUAUUGACUGAAGCUCCCUUUCAGUUUUUAUAAAUAUCUGAUAUGACAUUGAGAAGUUAUCGAAUAUUUAAAAAGGCGACGGGCGUAUCAUGCGCUCAUGGCGUAGCUGUUUAUUUGUUA
rnacentral:lncRNA from 1 species